UCAGUUGAUCCUGGCUCAGAACGAACGCUGGCGGCGUGGAUUAGGCAUGCAAGUCGAACGGGAUCUCUGGAACGGACUGGAUGAAGUUCUUGAGUGAGAGUGGCGAACUGGUGAGGAACACGUGGGUAAUUUGCCCUUAAGUUCGGGAUAGCCCUUCGAAAGGAGGUGUAAUACCGAAUGUGGUCGCCCCGGACAUCCGGGGCUGUCUAAAGGUGGGGAUCUUCGGACCUGCCGCUUAGGGAUCCGAAAGCCCGCGCCCUACCAGCUUGUUGGUGAGGUAACGGCUCACCAAGGCAAAGACGGGUAGCUGGUCUGAGAGGAUGGUCAGCCACACUGGGACUGAGACACUGCCCAGACUCCUAGGGGAGGCUGCAGUCGAGAAUCAUUCGCAAUGCACGAAAGUGUGACGAUGCGACGCCGCGUGGAGGAUGAAUGCCUUCGGGUUGUAAACUCCUGUCAUGAGGAAAGAAUGUCCGGCCGGCUGAUACCCGGUGAGUGACGGUACCUCAAGAGGAAGCCACGGCUAACUCUGUGCCAUUGCGGUAAUACAGAGGUGGCGAGCGUUGUUCGGAUUUACUGGGCGUAAAGGGUGCGUAGGCGGUAUGGUGUGUCGGAUGUGAAAUCUCACUGUCCAACGGUGAAAGUGCAUAAUCGAAACUGCCGUGCUAGGAGUACAGGAGGGUAGAGCGGAAUUCUUGGUGCACCGGUGAAAUGCGUAGAUAUCAAGAAGAACGCCGGUGGCGAAGGCGGCUCUCUGGACUGAUACUGACGCUGAGGCACGAAAGCUGGGGUAGCGAAGAGGAUUAGAUACCCUCGUAGUCCCAGCCGUAAACGGUGUGCACUUGGUGUGGGCG
rnacentral:rRNA from 1 species